rnacentral:rRNA from 1 species
AGUGAACGCUGGCGGUAGGCCUAACACAUGCAAGUCGAACGGCAGCACAGUAAGAGCUUGCUCUUACGGGAGGCGAGUGGCGGACGGGUGAGGAAUACAUCGGAAUCUACUUUUUCGUGGGGGAUAACGUAGGGAAACUUACGCUAAUACCGCAUACGACCUACGGGUGAAAGCAGGGGAUCUUCGGACCUUGCGCGAUUGAAUGAGCCGAUGUUGGAUUAGCUAGUUGGCGGGGUAAAGGCCCACCAAGGCGACGAACCGUAGCUGGUCUGAGAGGAUGAUCGGCCACACUGGAACUGAGACACGGUCCAGACUCCUACGGGAGGCAGCAGUGGGGAAUAUUGGACAAAGGGCGCAAGCCUGAUCCAGCCAUACCGCGUGGGUGAAGAAGGCCUUCGGGUUGUAAAGCCCUUUUGUUGGGAAAGAAAAGCAGCAGGUUAAUACCCCGCUGUUCUGACGGUACCCAAAGAAUAAGCACCGGCUAACUUCGUG